rnacentral:rRNA from 1 species
CUUGCUUCUUAAGUUAGUGGCGCACGGGUGAGUAAUAUAUAGCUAACCUGCCCUUUAGUGGGGGACAACAGUUGGAAACGACUGCUAAUACCCUAUACUCCUUCUUACUAUAAGGUAAGUUGGGAAAGAUUUAUCGCUAAAGGAUGGGGCUUUAUUGUAUCAGCUAGUUGGUGGGGUAAUGGCCUACCAAGGCUAUGACGCAUACCUGGUCUGAGAGGAUGAUCAGGCACACUGGAACUGAGACACGGUCCAGACUCCUACGGGAGGCAGCAGUGGGGAAUAUUGCACAAUGGAGGAAACUCUGAUGCAGCAACGCCGCGUGGAGGAUGACGCAUUUCGGUGUGUAAACUCCUUUUAUAGGGGAAGAUAAUGACGGUACCCUAUGAAUAAGCACCGGCUAACUCCGUGCCAGCAGCCGCGGUAAUACGGAGGGUGCAAGCGUUACUCGGAAUCACUGGGCGUAAAGGAUGCGUAGGCUGGAAAUCAAGUCGAGAGUGAAAUCCAACGGCUCAACCGUUGAACUGCUCUCGAAACUGGUUACCUAGAAUAUGGGAGAGGUAGAUGGAAUUAGUGGUGUAGGGGUAAAAUCCGUAGAUAUCACUAGGAAUACCGAUUGCGAAGGCGAUCUACUGGAACAUUA